rnacentral:rRNA from 1 species
GACGAACGCUGGCGGCGUGCUUAACACAUGCAAGUCGAACGGGCCCGCCCCUGUUUUUGGGGGUGGGUUGAGUGGCGAACGGGUGAGUAUCACGUGAGUAACCUGCCCCCUGCUCCUGGAUAACUGCUUGAAAGGGCUGCUAAUACGGGGUGUGCCGGCUGGUCCGCAUGGGCCUGGUCGGGAUAGUUUCAUCUUCGGGUGUUUCGGUGGGGGAUGGGCUCGCGGCCUAUCAGCUUGUUGGUGGGGUGAUGGCCCACCAAGGCGGUGACGGGUAGCCGGCCUGGGAGGGUGGGCGGCCAGACUGGGACUGAGACACGGCCCAGACUCCUGCGGGAGGCAGCAGUGGGGGGUAUUGCACAAUGGGCGGAAGCCUGAGGCAGCGACGUCGCGUGAGGGAUGGAGGCCUUCGGGUUGUGAACCUCUUUCUCCGGUGGUGAAGGCCCUGUCCGUUGCGGCGGGGUUGACGGUAGCCGGGUAUGAAGCGCCGGCUAACUACGUG